rnacentral:lncRNA from 1 species
AAAAAGAAAGAAGAAAAAAAACCCUCCAUUUUGCAUUAAAGUAACAAUUUCUCAUUACAAUACAUGAUUAUUUAAGUAGAUUUAGUGACAAAUAAUAUAGCUAAUUAGGGGUGGGAGCUUGUGUAUAAAUGUAAUCUUCACUCUCAUAGAGAUUAUCUUCUGAUCCAAUGUCAUUAUUUCCUUUUAUGAAUUCUGCUGAUCUCUCCUUCUCGCACUCACCUCUUCCCUGCAUACAUACAUAUAUAUAUAUAUAUACACACACACACACGACUUCAGAUAGCAAAUUAAGAAGCCACCCAUUUAUUAAUAUCAUCUUUAUUCGUACAGCAGAAUAUUGAAUAAACAAAAAAAACUAACAAUAAACAAAAAAAACUAACAUAUUUAAAUAGAUGAGUAAUAUAUAUAUUUAUUAGUAUUGAAUACAGUAUAAAUCAUUCAAUAUUUAAAUAUAAAUUACUCCGGGCUAUACCAUAACCCUAAUUAAAUAUCAUUUUAUAAUUCACAAAACAUGAAUUUAAUGUAGAAACUGCAUGAAAGCAGAAAGAAAAGGAGUGUGUACCUUACUGACAGACUUUCCAAUGGCCACCACUAAGUCAGUAGUACCAGCCAUCCCUUGAAUACUAAACACCAAACACAAGAAGAAAAGCAAAGAGAUGACAGAUAGAAUCGAAAAAAAUCUCAUUGUAUGAGCUGCU